rnacentral:rRNA from 1 species
AACGAACGCUGGCGGCAGGCUUAACACAUGCAAGUCAAGCGCCCCGCAAGGGGAGCGGCAGACGGGUGAGUAACGCGUGGGAAUCUACCCAUCUCUACGGAAUAACGCAUGGAAACGUGUGCUAAUACCGUAUACGUCCUUCGGGAGAAAGAUUUAUCGGAGAUGGAUGAGCCCGCGUUGGAUUGGCUAGUUGGUGGGGUAAAGGCCUACCAAGGCGACGAUCCAUAGCUGGUCUGUGAGGAUGAUCAGCCACACUGGGACUGAGACACGGCCCAGACUCCUACGGGAGGCAGCAGUGGGGAAUACUGGACAAUGGGCGCAAGCCUGAUCCAGCCAUGCCGCGUGAGUGAUGAAGGCCCUAGGGUUGUAAAGCUCUUUCACCGGUGAAGAUAAUGACGGUAACCGGAGAAGAAGCCCCGGCUAACUUCGUGCCAGCCGCCGCCGUAAGAC